rnacentral:lncRNA from 1 species
UCUCUUACAUAACAUAACAUAACAUGGUCCAACUGUGCCAGGGGCAUAGAAUGGGCCUCGCUGGUCUUUCUCUUACAUGGUGCCAGGGGCGUAGAAUGGGCCUCACUGGUCUUCCGUACCGUAUCCUCAUCAUCAUAACAUAGGGGGACUAAAGGAUCAUUCAACAUUCAUCCACAUCAUCAAACAUAUUAUGCAAUGCAACAUAUUCGUGAGUCUAAUGCAAACACCCUAUUAUAUCUCAUGGCAUUCAUGAUGCGUGAAUCAUGCUAAAACUGAUUUAUUUAUUUUAA